AACGAACGCUGGCGGCAGGCUUAACACAUGCAAGUCGAACGGACGUAGCAAUACGUUAGUGGCAGACGGGUGAGUAACGCGUGGGAAUAUGCCCUUUAGUUCGGAAUAACUCAGGGAAACUUGAGCUAAUACCGGAUAAUCCCGAGAGGGGAAAGAUUUAUCGCUGAAGGAGUAGCCCGCGUCUGAUUAGCUAGUUGGUGAGGUAAUGGCUCACCAAGGCGACGAUCAGUAGCUGGUCUGAGAGGAUGAUCAGCCACACUGGGACUGAGACACGGCCCAGACUCCUACGGGAGGCAGCAGUGGGGAAUAUUGGACAAUGGGGGCAACCCUGAUCCAGCCAUGCCGCGUGAGUGAUGAAGGCCUUAGGGUUGUAAAACUCUUUUGUCCGGGAAGAUAAUGACUGUACCGGAAGAAUAAGCCCCGGCUAACUUCGUGCCAGCCGCCGCAGUAACAC
rnacentral:rRNA from 1 species